GAGUUUGAUCAUGGCUCAGAAUCAACGCUGGCGGCGUGCCUAACACAUGCAAGUCGAGCGCGAAAGGGGAGCAAUCCCCAAGUAGAGCGGCGAACGGGUGAGUAACGCGUGGGUAAUCUACCUCCGAGUGGGGAAUAACAGCGGGAAACUGCUGCUAAUACCGCAUGACAUCGUCGUUUCUUCGGGAGUGACGAUCAAAGCCGGGGACCGCAAGGCCUGGCGCUUGGAGACGAGCCCGCGUCCGAUUAGCUAGUUGGCGGGGUAAUGGCCCACCAAGGCUCCGAUCGGUAGCCGGCCUGAGAGGGCGGACGGCCACACUGGGACUGAGACACGGCCCAGACUCCUACGGGAGGCAGCAGUGGGGAAUUUUUCGCAAUGGGGGAAACCCUGACGAAGCAACGCCGCGUGGAGGAUGAAGGCCUUCGGGUCGUAGACUCCUGUCGACCGGGACGAACGCUAUUGGGCCCAAUACGCCCGAUAGUCGACUGUACCGGUGGAGGAAGCCACGGCUAACUCUGUGCCAGCAGCCGCGGUAAUACAGAGGUGGCAAGCGUUGUUCGGAAUUACUGGGCGUAAAGGGCGCGUAGGCGGUCUUGUCAGUCCCUUGUGAAAUCCCCCGGCUCAACUGGGGAACUGCACGGGAAACAGCAGGGCUUGAGUUC
rnacentral:rRNA from 1 species